rnacentral:rRNA from 1 species
UGGGGAAUAUUGCACAAUGGGGGAAACCCUGAUGCAGCAACGCCGCGUGAAGGAUGAAGGUUUUCGGAUUGUAAACUUCUUUUAUUCGGGACGAAGAAAGUGACGGUACCGAAUGAAUAAGCCACGGCUAACUACGUGCCAGCAGCCGCGGUAAUACGUAGGUGGCGAGCGUUAUCCGGAUUUACUGGGUGUAAAGGGCGAGUAGGCGGGAUUGCAAGUCAGAUGUGAAAACUAUGGGCUCAACCCAUAGACUGCAUUUGAAACUGUAGUUCUUGAGUGAUGGAGAGGCAGGCGGAAUUCCCGGUGUAGCGGUGGAAUGCGUAGAUAUCGGGAGGAACACCAGUGGCGAAGGCGGCCUGCUGGACAUUAACUGACGCUGAGGCGCGAAAGCGUGGGGAGCAAACA